rnacentral:rRNA from 1 species
GACGAACGCUGGCAGCGUGCUUAACACAUGCAAGUCGAACGGAAAGGCCUUUUCGGAGGUACUCGAGUGGCGAACGGGUGAGUAACACGUGGGUGAUCUGCCCUGCACUCUGGGAUAAGCCUGGGAAACUGGGUCUAAUACCGGAUAGGACCGCACUUUAGUGUGUGUGGUGGAAAGUUUUUUCGGUGUAGGAUGAGCCCGCGGCCUAUCAGCUUGUUGGUGGGGUAAUGGCCUACCAAGGCGGCGACGGGUAGCCGGACUGAGAGGUUGGUCGGCCACAUUGGGACUGAGAUACGGCCCAGACUCCUACGGGAGGCAGCAGUGGGGAAUAUUGCACAAUGGGCGCAAGCCUGAUGCAGCGACGCCGCGUGGGGGAUGACGGCCUUCGGGUUGUAAACUCCUUUCGCCAGGGACGAAGCGUUUUGUGACGGUACCUGGAGAAGAAGCACCGGCUAACUACGUG